GACGAACGCUGGCGGCGUGCUUAACACAUGCAAGUCGAACGGAAAGGCCCCUUUGGGGGUACUCGAGUGGCGAACGGGUGAGUAACACGUGAGUAACCUGCCCUUGACUUCGGGAUAACUUCAGGAAACUGGGGCUAAUACCGGAUAGGAAUCCUUGCUGCAUGGUGGGGGUUGGAAAGCUUCGGCGGUUUUGGAUGGACUCGCGGCCUAUCAGCUUGCUGGUGGGGUAGUUGCUUACCAAGGCUUUGACGGGUAGCCGGCCUGGGGGGGCGACCGGCCACAUUGGGGCUGAGGUACGGCCCAGACUCCUACGGGAGGGAGCAGUGGGGAAUAUUGCACAAUGGGCGGAAGCCUGAUGCAGCAACGCCGCGGGCGGGAUGACGGCCUUCGGGUUGUAAACCGCUUUCAGCAGGGGCGAAGCUUGUGGUGACGGUACCUGCAGAAGAAGCACCGGCUAACUACGUG
rnacentral:rRNA from 1 species